rnacentral:rRNA from 1 species
UACGGAGGAGGCAAGCGUUAUCCGGAAUUAUUGGGCGUAAAGAGCUCGUAGGCGGUUUGUCGCGUCUGCCGUGAAAGUCCGGGGCUCAACUCCGGAUCUACGGUGGGUACGGGCAGACUAGAGUGAUGUAGGGGAGACUGGAGUUCCUGGUGUAGCGGUGAAAUGCGCAGAUAUCAGGAGGAACACCGAUGGCGAAGGCAGGUCUCUGGGCAUUAACUGACGCUGAGGAGCGAAAGCAUGGGGAGCGAACAGG